AUACGUAGGGGGCGAGCGUUGUCCGGAAUGAUUGGGCGUAAAGGGCGCGUAGGCGGCUUUGCAAGUCAGUAGUGGAAGUCCAUUUUUCAAGGAUGGAAGUGCUACCGAAACUGCGGAGCUUGAGUGCAGGAGAGGUUAUCGGAAUUCCCGGUGUAGCGGUGAAAUGCGUAGAGAUCGGGAGGAACACCAGUGGCGAAGGCGGGUAACUGGACUGCAACUGACGCUGAGGCGCGAAAGUGUGGGGAGCAAACAGGAUUAGAUACCCUGGUAGUCCACACUGUAAACGAUGAAUGCUAGGUGUAAGAGGUAUCGACCCCUUUUGUGCCGGAGUCAACACAAUAAGCAUUCCGCCUGGGGAGUACGGCCGCAAGGUUGAAACUCAAAUGAAUUGACGGGG
rnacentral:rRNA from 1 species